UACGUAGGGGGCGAGCGUUGUCCGGAUUUUACUGGGCGUAAAGCGCGUGUAGGCGGCCCGUUAAGUGGGGUGUGAAAGCCCGGGGCUCAACCCCGGGACGGCCGCUUCAAACUGGCGGGCUUGAGGACGGAAGAGGGGAGUGGAAUUCCUGGUGUAGCGGUGAAAUGCGGUAGAGAUCAGGAGGAACACCCGUGGCGAAGGCGGCUCCCUGGUCCGUCCCUGAC
rnacentral:rRNA from 1 species